CUAUUUUCCACUUGUUUGGAAACUAUCUCCCCUGUCUGGUGUCCUUGCAGCUGUGCAUCUGUCAGUCUGUGCUGGAACUACAGUACUGUUAUGUCAGUAACAUACAUCACAGUCGUACGUCUCCAGGCUUCUUAUCUUCCUUUGAACCUGACCUGGCUACUGUUUGGUGGAUUAUAGAGGAAAAGCUGUAAUGGGAAAGUAGGUUGGGUGAAGGGAUGAGAAAAAGGAAAGCAUCGUGGAGCACAUUAGCAGGCUUUCUCCAUGAAGAAGCAGGAUGAGUACCUUCUCACUGCCAAAGUAGUUGGAGGGACAUCAAACACCAGUGAUGGGAACACUGAACCUCACAUAAGUUCCACCUCUUCACUUUAGUGUUUCU
rnacentral:lncRNA from 10 species